CCUAUUCCUCCACCAUCUUCCUUCUUCUCAAUACACAACUUCAAUGCCUUGGCUUUAUUAUGUCGUGUGUCAUCCUAUCCCGAGCUGCCAGGAGUGCUCAUGACCUAUGUAUGAAGCUCAGCUUUAAACCUUAGGGGUGAGUUCUGUGAAGGUUCUGGGGGGCAUCUGGGGGGCUCUUCCUGCUGGACACCACCAUGUCAUCUGGGGCCAGAAGUGAAGUGGGCACCCACCUCUUUUGCUCUGCUUUUCCCAUCUUCCUCUACGCUCUGUCAGCAUGUGGGUUUCCCACCAACCAUAUCUCUGCAGACAAACUGUGAGGCGGUCUAUGGCUUGGGACUCCAUUGACCUCACAAAAUCUCAUUAUAACCAGUGUAAGAGGUUUCUGUGACACUGACAUGAACUUUGUUCCCAGAAUAUGCCACAUGAAGAGUCCCAUGAGACCCUGGGGGUCCAGAAAAUUUAAAUGUGUGAUUAUGGCUCGAGCUAAAGCCACUCAAGGGGAUCAUGCUGGAGGCCAUCUCAGAUCUCAGUCUGGCUCUGUCACCAAUUUCCAGGACAAUUUAGAGACAAUGGCUGACAAUGAGCAAAGUUGAUGGAAACUGGUCUGGAAUGCACGAGGUUCAAGAAGGUGCGAGGAAUCUGUGGUGUUUCAUCAUCAGUGAUUUUGCGGAUGAAGAACAUGCCUUUUGCGUGGAGUAUGAUAAGACUUGUUCCAAGUAUUUUCUAGUUGAUACAGAAAUCAGGGAGAGCAGCGCCCUCUAUCUGCUAGGAUAGGCGUGAGAGGCUGAGUGCUCUCAAGAAGGUGUCUGGCUGUCGCAGGGCUCACUGUAAGCCUGCGCACAGGACCGACGAGGACAGUUAAAGGUUUUGUUCUAAGGAUGGAGUAUUGGAGGAAUGUGGCGCCCCGUGUAAUCCUGGGAAGAGCACAGAUCUCGAGUCUGCUGUGGAGUGACUUCGUGAGAGGGGUGGUGAUCUGCAGCCUCCGGCUAACGAGAUGUGUGUCUUUUAUUAAGUUGUGGGUGUGGUUUCUAUGACGUUGUCCUAACAGCUGGGAUUUCCAAGGAGUGGGACUUUUUUCCGUCCCUCUAACAGUUGGUCCCCUGGGAAUGGGCAGGUCCUGUUCUGCUGCUGACGUGUGUCUCUAGCGUUUGGAGUGUGUAUUACAAGCCUAUAGGGGGUUACAGUGGUCGGCAGGCUAUUGUUAUUGAUGAUUUUUAUGGGUGGAUUCCAUAGGAUGAGAUGUUAGAUCUUCUGGCUAGGGAUCCUCAUUAAGUGCCAAUAAAGAGUGCUUUCUCUGAGUUUAAUGGUAGAUAUAUUUUUAUGACUUCUGCUAGCCCUCCUUGUACUUGGUAUUCCAAUGAGCAAUGUAUUACAAUAUAAAUAAUAAAUGCAGUGCCUGCAUUUUAUCCGUGUGUUGAUGAGUAUUUGAGAAUGGAAAACGUUGGCAAUGUGUCCACAAAUUGUACACU